GACAGUUUUGUGUGAGAGAUUUGAAAAAUCAAAUUACAGCUAGAGUUUGGAGAGUUCUGAGUGAUUGUAUCUCUCUUUUCAUCGUAGUAAAAUUUCUCUCCUAUCUUGCCUAUGGACAUAGGCUUUUCAGUCGAAUCAUGUAAAUUCUGUGUCUGUUUUUUCUUCUCUUCUCUAUUCUGUGUGAUUGUAUGAAUCUAUG
rnacentral:lncRNA from 1 species